rnacentral:rRNA from 1 species
GACGAACGCUGGCGGCGUGCCUAAUACAUGCAAGUAGAACGCUGAAGGAGGAGCUUGCUUCUCUGGAUGAGUUGCGAACGGGUGAGUAACGCGUAGGUAACCUGCCUGGUAGCGGGGGAUAACUAUUGGAAACGAUAGCUAAUACCGCAUAAGAGUAGAUGUUGCAUGACAUUUGCUUAAAAGGUGCACUUGCAUCACUACCAGAUGGACCUGCGUUGUAUUAGCUAGUUGGUGGGGUAACGGCUCACCAAGGCGACGAUACAUAGCCGACCUGAGAGGGUGAUCGGCCACACUGGGACUGAGACACGGCCCAGACUCCUACGGGAGGCAGCAGUAGGGAAUCUUCGGCAAUGGACGGAAGUCUGACCGAGCAACGCCGCGUGAGUGAAGAAGGUUUUCGGAUCGUAAAGCUCUGUUGUAAGAGAAGAACGAGUGUGAGAGUGGAAAGUUCACACUGUGACGGUAUCUUACCAGAAAGGGACGGCUAACUACGUGCCAGCAGCCGCGGUAAUACGUAGGUCCCGAGCGUUGUCCGGAUUUAUUGGGCGUAAAGCGAGCGCAGGCGGUUAGAUAAGUCUGAAGUUAAAGGCUGUGGCUUAACCAUAGUAGGCUUUGGAAACUGUUUAACUUGAGUGCAAGAGGGGAGAGUGGAAUUCCAUGUGUAGCGGUGAAAUGCGUAGAUAUAUGGAGGAACACCGGUGGCGAAAGCGGCUCUCUGGCUUGUAACUGACGCUGAGGCUCGAAAGCGUGGGGAGCAAACAGG